rnacentral:rRNA from 1 species
AUGAAUGAUUCAUCUUGGAAAGUAGACACGGGUCACAAGUCCGGCUAUCUUACAUAUAUUGAGAAGAAAAUGGCUGAAGUACUCCCACAUGCUGAUCUCAAAGCUGAUCCACAUAUCAGGUCAAAAGUUAAGAUUUUGAAGAAACAACUUCCCUAUGUUCUGGAAAUUAUGCAAAAUGGUAGUGGAUUUGGAUGGGAUGAUGAGAAGAAGAUGGUAAUCGGAGAUAGAGAGACAUAUAUGGGUUGGGCAAAGGAAGUUGUAGAAGUUGAAGAAACAGCAGAUGCAGAACCUACUAGCCAACCGGCCAAGGAGAAUUCUCCUCAAGCACAUGAGAACACCAACCCAUCUGGUGGUUCUAGGCCUGGUCGUAAGAGAACAUACCCUGAUGAUGAUGCACUAGAAUCAGGCCUUAUAAGUGUGUCCAACACAAUUGCAAUGUUCUUGGAAGCAGAACAGGACAAUGCAAAAACCAUGAACGGUUUACAGAGGGCGUUUAUGCAUGAAGCUGAAGUUCAUGAGCAAGCAUCAGCCAACAGAACCAAGUUACUUGAUAUUCUGCAGAAUCUUAAAGAUCUCAGUAAAGAAGAAGUUGUUAUGGCUGUUCGUGUUAUUGGUGGUGACGCUGGAAAGACCGAGCUUUUCAUAAAGUUGCGUGAUGAUUUCAAAGUACUAUUUGUUCGCCAGGAGCUUGAGGCGGCCAAAAAAUAA